rnacentral:sRNA from 1 species
AGGUGAGCCCCAGGUCCAGGGCUCCAGCAACCAUGGAGCCCCGUGCAGACUGAAGGUCCUCUGAAAUGCUCACUCAUUAAAUAAUGAUGAUCGACAGUGACUGCAAGUGCAACAAAGAUUCAAUACAGCUCCAAGGAAGGAGCCAAGAAAAACAUUCUGUGUCAAAGUGAGACCCUGGAAGUGAAACCCUGGAACAAAGCCGAAAAACGGGCUCCAGCUGGGUGCCAGCAAACGCAGGACUGGAAUGUGACUUCCGGCAGCGCGCAGGUGCUCCUGGGUCACCUGCUUUGAGGUCCAGCCUCCUGCCCUGCCCCGGGUGACCACAUGACCACUGUGGACUUUGCCCUGACACCUUCUGGGAGGAGAAGAGGCCUGACCUUGGUGCUGGGGUCCAGUGGGCAUUGCCCUGGUCCAAGGCUGCUGCCCUUGACCUCUGCUCUGCGGCUGUUUUCCGUUGGAGCAGUGGCUCCUCCUGUUCUGUCCUGCCUGUGGAGGGAAGCAAACCUUCCCCUGGACCAGAGAGAGGAGAAAGCGGAGACAGGUAGCAACGCU